GAUGAACGCUGGCGGCGUGCCUAAUACAUGCAAGUCGAGCGAACAGACGAGGAGCUUGCUCCUCUGACGUUAGCGGCGGACGGGUGAGUAACACGUGGAUAACCUACCUAUAAGACUGGGAUAACUUCGGGAAACCGGAGCUAAUACCGGAUAAUAUAUUGAACCGCAUGGUUCAAUAGUGAAAGACGGUUUUGCUGUCACUUAUAGAUGGAUCCGCGCCGCAUUAGCUAGUUGGUAAGGUAACGGCUUACCAAGGCAACGAUGCGUAGCCGACCUGAGAGGGUGAUAGGCCACACUGGAACUGAGACACGGUCCAGACUCCUACGGGAGGCAGCAGUAGGGAAUCUUCCGCAAUGGGCGAAAGCUUGACGGAGCAACGCCGCGUGAGUGAUGAAGGUCCUCGGAUCGUAAAACUCUGUUAUUAGGGAAGAACAAAUGUGUAAGUAACUAUGCACGUCUUGACGGUACCUAAUCAGAAAGCCACGGCUAACUACGUG
rnacentral:rRNA from 1 species